UUUGAUGUGGGUGAAUUGCAGUAUCCACGUAGAUUCACGAGGUAACGAUGUUUGAUGCUUCCAAGAAUCUCAAGCUCCCUUUCGAAAAACCUAUCAAACCCUUCGUUUAACUUUACUAUUUUCUUCAGCGCAAAAACAUUGCCAUCCUCCAUGUCGAGUUUGUAAACUGUUCCGAAGCCUCCACAGCCUAUUAUAUGCUCUUCGUUAAGAGAUUCCGGUUUCUUGAUUAUGUCUUUAGAA